AAGAGUAACUUUCCUUCUCGUGGAGGCUGCGGGCUCCUGGGGUGGGGGGCGCCUGGGAAGCUUGGAAACCCCCGCCUGUGGCCCCGCACGACCCCGGCCGCCCUGCCUGCGAGGGAACACGACCCCCCCUCCGAACAGGGGGAGCCCCGGCCUCGUCACCGAAGCUGAGUGCCUUGAGGGGGGUGCUGGAGAGUUAGGGGGGACGGUCACCCGCCGAGCCUCCAGCUGCGUGGCAACGCCGCCCCCUGCCGGUGCCCUGCGGCGCUGCUCUCAAAGCGGAGGAACCAGCGGGACCGCAGACGGAAGCCAUUACUCCUCAGCGCCGGCCUCGCGAGGACCUAUUGAGAAAGUCAGCGGUCACGGGCAUGUACAUGACACAGGCACUUUGAACUCUGGAGCAACGGAUACUCCUGCAAG
ensembl:lncRNA